GGGCUACACAUUUUUAGCUUUAAGUCUUAUUUUUUUUAUUUGUAACUCCUAUUUGCAGAAACCAAAAAAGAAAAAACUUAUCAGAUCUGCAGCCACGUUGACAGUGUUGGGGGAUAGUAGGGCUACAAACUUACAAGAGUUUUAGUUCUAUAAGUUUUAGUUUAUGUAGCUUCGAAUUUGCAGAAACUAAAAAGACAAAAAAAACAGAACUCAUCGGAUCUACAGAGUUGGGGCAGCCUUCGCUGAAAGGGGCUGCAAUUUUUACCUUUUACUCUUAAGUUUUUAAUUUGUACAGUCUAUUUACAGAAACUAAAAAGGAAUAAAUCACAAAAUCUGCAGCGACAUUGACUCAGGGAUCGC
rnacentral:lncRNA from 1 species